GCUCCGUAGCUGAGCGGCAAAGCACUUGACUUCCGAACCGGAGUCCCGGGUUCGAAUCCUGGUGAAGACU
rnacentral:tRNA from 1 species